rnacentral:lncRNA from 1 species
GAGUGUGGUUUUUUCUAAGCCUUAGCACGCUUGUAUCCUCUCUAUCAAAGGGCAAAUUGAGUCACGAUUUAGGUCUCCCCGUACCCAUUAUGCAUGAAUUCCCUAGGUUCAUGCAUCCACUCUAUCAUUGCACUUUCAUUUUUUCCUCUCAUUUGCACACGUAUACCCUUAUCCCUUCACUUGCACACGAACAUUUCUUCUCUCAUUUGCACACGUACACCUUUUUAUCCCUUCACUUGCACACGAACACUUUUAUCAUCACUUGCACACAUGUACUUCAUAUUA